UUGCAGGGUACUCGAGUGGCGAACGGGUGAGUAACACGUGGGUGAUCUGCCCUGCACUUCGGGAUAAGCCUGGGAAACUGGGUCUAAUACCGGAUAGGAGCCAUUUUUAGUGUGAUGGUUGGAAAGUUUUUCGGUGUAGGAUGAGCUCGCGGCCUAUCCGCUUGUUGGUGGGGUAAUGGCCUACCAAGGCGGCGACGGGUAGCCGGCCUGAGAGGGUGACCGGCCACAUUGGGACUGAGAUACGGCCCAG
rnacentral:rRNA from 1 species